UACGUAGGCAGCAAGCGUUGUUCGGAGUUACUGGGCGUAAAGAGUGCGUAGGCGGUCCUGUAAGUUUGGUGUGAAAUCUCCCGGCUCAACUGGGAGGGUGCGCCGAAGACUGCAGGGCUUGAGUAUGGGAGAGGUAAGCGGAAUUCCUGGUGUAGCGGUGAAAUGCGUAGAUAUCAGGAGGAACACCGGUGGUGUAGACGGCUUUCUGGACCGUAACUGACGCUGAAACACGAAAGCGUGGGUAGCAAACAGG
rnacentral:rRNA from 1 species